rnacentral:rRNA from 1 species
AUGGGGCACACCAGGGCAGCCGUGCUAGCGGUGGUGCUCGCCGUCGCCGUGCUGGGGCUUGCCACCGAUGGCCAGGCGCAGCUCCAGAACGGGUUCUACACGGGCAAGUGCCGCGGCAACGACGUGGAGGCUGUCGUCCAGGGUAUCGUCCAGGCCCGCUUCGCCAGCAACAGCGACAUCGUCCCCCACCUCCUACGCUUGCUGUUCCACGAGUGCGGCGUCAAUGGCUGCGACGGUGGGCUGUUGAUCAACGGCACCGGCACAGAGAAGACGGCAAACCCGAACCUGAGCGUCAAGGGCUACGAGCUCAUCACCGCCAUCAAGACGGAGCUCGAGAAGCGCUGCCCCGGGGUCGUAUCCUGCUCCGACAUCGAGGUGCUCGCAACCAGGGACGCGGUCGCCGCGUCCACGGGGCGAAGAUACGCGGUGCGCACCGGGCGCAGGGACAGCCGGCGGUCCGUGGCCACCGACGUGAACCUUCCAGGGCCAGAUGACACGGUCCCCAAGGCAGCCGCUUUCUUCCGCAACCUCGGCCUCAGUUCGGACGACAUGGUCGUUCUGUUGGGCGCGCACACGGUCGGCGUCACGCACUGCAACAUGAUCAAGAGGAGCCGUCUUUACAGCUAUGGCGGCAAGGCCGGAGCAACCGACCCGAGCAUGGACCCCAACACCGCGGCCACAUACAAGAGGUAUCCGUGCCCCAACACGGCUUCGUCCGACAACACCAUCCUGUACCUCGACGACCGGUCCAGCGCGUCCAAGGUGGACAACAGCUUCUAUAAGAUGCUGCAGCAGCGCCGUGGCGUGCUCAUGGUCGACCAGAACCUCUACAACGACAGUUCCACGCGGUGGAUGGUCGACAGGCUCGCCAACACCGACCAUUUCACCUGGCUCUUCCCGCAGGCCCUCGUCAAGCUGGGGGAGGUCAAGGUGCUUACCGGCACACAGGGAGAGGUCCGCAGGGUCUGCACCAAGUUCAACUGA